CCAAACUGUUGCCUCGGCGGGGUCACGCCCCGGGUGCGUCGCAGCCCCGGAACCAGGCGCCCGCCGGAGGGACCAACCAAACUCUUUUCUGUAGUCCCCUCGCGGACGUUAUUUCUUACAGCUCUGAGCAAAAAUUCAAAAUGAAUCAAAACUUUCAACAACGGAUCUCUUGGUUCUGGCAUCGAUGAAGAACGCAGCGAAAUGCGAUAAGUAAUGUGAAUUGCAGAAUUCAGUGAAUCAUCGAAUCUUUGAACGCACAUUGCGCCCGCCAGUAUUCUGGCGGGCAUGCCUGUCCGAGCGUCAUUUCAACCCUCGAACCCCUCCGGGGGGUCGGCGUUGGGGACCUCGGGAGCCCCUAAGACGGGAUCCCGGCCCCGAAAUACAGUGGCGGUCUCGCCGCAGCCUCUCCUGCGCAGUAGUUUGCACAACUCGCACCGGGAGCGCGGCGCGUCCACGUCCGUAAAACACCCAACUUCUGAAAUGUUGACCUCGGAUCAGGUAGGAAUACCCGCUGAACUUAAGCAUAUCAAUAAGUCGGAGGAA
rnacentral:rRNA from 1 species